GCAGGUUUAGCUAGAGGAGGAGCUGUGAAAUAACAGAGAAUGUUUGGGAAUGGUGGUCAGGCAACCAUAUCAAGGAAGGCCUUGUGGCCAUGCAUUCUACUGAGUUCAGAUUCUCUUCUUUGGAGACAGGCCUCUGGAAGACUGUGAACAAGACCACGAUGUGACUAGAGUGGAAGUGAAGAAAAAGCCACUCUCCUUGGAAUAUGGAGAAUAGAUUGAAGAACAGCUGUCUUCAAGACAAGAGGACAACGAUGCUGGCAAAAUGUGGGAAAUGUGGAAGCCCCUCAUAUAUUGUCAAUAUAGCUGCUGCAGAUAUCAGCAUGGACACUUUUGUAAGACUAAAAGUGAAACCACUAUAUGGCCCAACUGUACUCCAGGCAACACCAGCAGGACUGAAAGGCAAUAUACCACAGAGAAAUUUACAUAACCAUGCUUUCUGCUGCGCUAGUCACAAUUGCUAAAAAAUAGAGCUCUCCUAGAUGUCCAUCAAGAAAUCAAUGGACGGGAGCUGGAGAGAUGGCUCUGUUUAAGAGCACUGGAUGCUCUUCCAGAGAGCCUAGGUUAAAAUCUGGAAUUGAAGUUCCAGGGCAUCUGGACUCCACAUGCUCAAGGCAUACAUGUGUUCCUUGAACAUACGUGCAGGCAAAACAUAUAUACAUAUGAAAUAAACAAAGAGUAAAU
rnacentral:lncRNA from 1 species